CUUAUAACAACAAAAAAUUGGGACCUCAGUGAAGAAGAGCUUAAUCAACUCUGCUGAGAGCAAUUUGAAUGUAGAGUAAAUGUUAUAUGGGAUACUGUAUAGUGUUUACUUCUUACUGCGAGUGAUCAAAGUAAGAAAGAAGAAGAUUCUUCAAAUACAAGAAUUGCGUGCCAUUUAACUAUGAAAGAAAAGGUUGACCCAACAAGUCGGUGCAAUAAUUGAAGAAGUGUACGAUUUAUAAUCGGAUACUAACACGGCCUUUAAGUGUUAUCUAGGGAUAGAUAAAUUACUAAAGGUAAUAUCCAAAACAAGCACUUGCCGGUGAUCUGAAGAAAUUCAGGUAUAAGACAAAUCAGGGUUGAAUGAGUACCACAAGGCGAAAUUUAAUUAAAAUUGAAAAGUAUCAAUUAACAUAUUAAAUUUACAAAUUAUUCUGAACGAUGUGGGAAAAUUGGAAGUAGACGAAUCUCCUCUAGGCAUACGGCGUAGAGCAGGGCAUAUAGAUUAGGGCGACGGCCCGAAAUCUCAGGUAUGUUCUCCUAGUGACUGAAUAUUCUGCAAUAGUUAAACGGUAGGGCGAAGGCUCCCCAAUUAACUUAUAAAA
rnacentral:sRNA from 12 species